GAACUUUUAGCUCAACUGGUUAGAGGUUUGCCUGGGAAUCACAAGACCGGGGUUCGAGCCCCCGCUGUGGCA